UAUUAUUGAACGCAGGUGGAUGU
rnacentral:piRNA from 1 species